GAUGAACGCUGGCGGCGUGCCUAAUACAUGCAAGUCGAGCGAACAGACGAGGAGCUUGCUCCUCUGACGUUAGCGGCGGACGGGUGAGUAACACGUGGAUAACCUACCUAUAAGACUGGGAUAACUUCGGGAAACCGGAGCUAAUACCGGAUAAUAUAUUGAACCGCAUGGUUCAAUAGUGAAAGACGGUUUUGCUGUCCCUUAUAGAUGGAUCCGCGCCGCAUUAGCUAGUUGGUAAGGUAACGGCUUACCAAGGCAACGAUGCGUAGCCGACCUGAGAGGGUGAUCGGCCACACUGGAACUGAGACACGGUCCAGACUCCUACGGGAGGCAGCAGUAGGGAAUCUUCCGCAAUGGGCGAAAGCCUGACGGAGCAACGCCGCGUGAGUGAUGAAGGUCUUCGGAUCGUAAAACUCUGUUAUUAGGGAAGAACAAAUGUGUAAGUAACUAUGCACGUCUUGACGGUACCUUAUCAGAAAGCCACGGCUAACUACGUG
rnacentral:rRNA from 1 species